GACGAACGCUGGCGGCGUGCUUAACACAUGCAAGUCGAACGGAAAGGCCCUGCUUUUGUGGGGUGCUCGAGUGGCGAACGGGUGAGUAACACGUGAGUAACCUGCCCUUGACUUUGGGAUAACUUCAGGAAACUGGGGCUAAUACCGGAUAGGAGCUCCUGCUGCAUGGUGGGGGUUGGAAAGUUUCGGCGGUUGGGGAUGGACUCGCGGCUUAUCAGCUUGUUGGUGGGGUAGUGGCCUACCAAGGCUUUGACGGGUAGCCGGCCUGAGAGGGUGACCGGCCACAUUGGGACUGAGAUACGGCCCAGACUCCUACGGGAGGCAGCAGUGGGGAAUAUUGCACAAUGGGCGGAAGCCUGAUGCAGCAACGCCGCGUGCGGGAUGACGGCCUUCGGGUUGUAAACCGCUUUCGCCUGUGACGAAGCGUGAGUGACGGUAAUGGGUAAAGAAGCACCGGCUAACUACGUG
rnacentral:rRNA from 1 species